rnacentral:tRNA from 1 species
GGGCCUAUAGCUCAAUCGGCAGUAGCGGUCAACUCAUAAUUGACUGGUUGGGAGUUCGAGUCUCCCUGGGCCCAC